GCUUCCAGACAUAGAACUGAGAAGCCAGAGUCUCUCAGCUGCUGAUUCGGGGUGUGUCUGAUUGAGCCCACUGGCUCCCGAAAAGAAGACACGUUUGUGUCCGAGUGUCCUUAGCAGCUGGGAAAGAAUCAUGAAGAGGAAGUUGGGAACUUCCCUGAUGAUCCUAUGGAUACAGUGUUUCUGGGCAUGGGGGCAGAUAAAGGUGGAUCAGAGUCCUCAAGUCCUGAACCUCCAGGAGGGAGUCAACGCCAGUCUGGAAUGUAAUUGGUCAAGUUCGGUGAAUACUUUGCAGUGGUUCAAACAGAAUCCUGGGGAAGGCCCUGUCUCCCUAUUUGUCAUUGCUUCAGGCGUGAAGCAGAUAGGAAGAUUCAACUCCAAGAUGAACUUGAAGGAUCGUCACAACUCACUGCACAUCACUGACUCCCAGAGGGGAGACUCAGCCACCUACUUCUGUGCGGUGCAGGCACAGUGCUCCCCAGCCACCUGCAGGCUGUGCACAAACCGGGAGGCUCAGGCUCCAAUCACGCUCCCUGCCAGGGGACACAUAAUUCAGUUCAAUCCAACAAACUGAGCACCAACUAUGUGGGAGGUUGUGUGACACCAA